rnacentral:rRNA from 1 species
AGAGUUUGAUCAUGGCUCAGAACGAACGUUAGCGCGCCGCUAAUACAUGCAAGUCGAGCGAGAAAGGGCUUCGGCCCCAGUAAAGCGGCGCACGGGUGAGUAACACGUAGGUGAUCUCCCCUAGAGUGGUGGAUAACCCUCCGAAAGGAGGGCUAAUACAGCAUGAGACCACGAUCCCGCUGGGAUUGCGGUCAAAGCAGGCCUCUUCAUGAAAGCUUGCGCUCUGGGAUGAGCCUGCGGCCCAUCAGCUAGUUGGUAAGGUAACGGCUUACCAAGGCUAAGACGGGUAGCUGGUCUGAGAGGAUGAGCAGCCACACUGGAACUGAAACACGGUCCAGACUCCUACGGGAGGCAGCAGUAGGGAAUCUUGCGCAAUGGGCGAAAGCCUGACGCAGCGACGCCGCGUGAGCGAUGAAGGCCUUCGGGUUGUAAAGCUCUGUGGGGAGAGACGAAUAAGGCAUGGCUAACAUCCAUGUCGAUGACGGUAUCUCCUUAGCAAGCACCGGCUAACUCUGUGCCAGCAGCCGCGGUAAGACAGAGGGUGCGAACGUUGUUCGGAAUUACUGGGCGUAAAGCGCGUGUAGGCGGCAACGCAAGUCGGGCGUGAAAUCCCACGGCUCAACCGUGGAAGUGCACUCGAAACUGCGUAGCUAGAGUCCUGGAGAGGAAGGUGGAAUGCUUGGUGUAGAGGUGAAAUUCGUAGAUAUCAAGCGGAACACCGGUGGCGAAGGCGGCCUUCUGGACAGUGACUGACGCUGAGACGCGAAAGCGUGGGGAGCAAACAGGAUUAGAUACCCUGGUAGUCCACGCCGUAAACGAUGAGUGCUGGGUGUCACGGGCUUUGACCCUCGUGGUGCCGAAGCUAACGCGUUAAGCACUCCGCCUGGGGAGUACGGCCGCAAGGCUAAAACUCAAAUGAAUUGACGG